rnacentral:rRNA from 1 species
AUUGAACGCUGGCGGCAGGCCUAACACAUGCAAGUCGAACGAUUGGCGGACGGGUGAGUACUCUCUGGGAAACUGCCCGCUGGAGGGGGGUAACUACUGGAACCGGUAGCUAAUACCGCAUACCAUCGGAUGUUCCCACAUUGGAUUAGCUAGUAGGUGGGGUAACGGCUCACCUAGGCGCAGAUCCCUAGCUGGUCUGAGAGGAUGACCAGCCACACUGGAACUGAGACACGGUCCAGACUCCUACGGGAGGCAGCAGUGGGGAAUAUUGCACAAUGGGCGCAAGCCUGAUGCAGCCAUGCCGCGUGUAUGAAGAAGGCCUUCGGGUUGUAAAGUACUUUCAGCGGGGAGGCGGUACCCGCAGAAGAAGCACCGGCUAACUCCGUGCCAGCAGCCGCGGUAAUAC